rnacentral:rRNA from 1 species
AGAGUUUGAUCCUGGCUCAGGACGAACGCUGGCGGCACGCUUAACACAUGCAAGUCGAACGAGAGAAGAGGAGCUUGCUUUUCUGAUCUAGUGGCGGACGGGUGAGUAACACGUGAGCAAUCUGCCUUUCAGAGGGGGAUACCGAUUGGAAACGAUCGUUAAUACCGCAUAACAUAAUUGAACCGCAUGAUUUGAUUAUCAAAGAUUUAUCGCUGAAAGAUGAGCUCGCGUCUGAUUAGCUAGUUGGUAAGGUAACGGCUUACCAAGGCGACGAUCAGUAGCCGGACUGAGGGGUUGAUCGGCCACAUUGGGACUGAGACACGGCCCAGACUCCUACGGGAGGCAGCAGUGGGGAAUAUUGCACAAUGGAGGAAACUCUGAUGCAGCGAUGCCGCGUGAGGGAAGAAGGUUUUAGGAUUGUAAACCUCUGUCUUCAGGGACGAAAAAAGACGGUACCUGAGGAGGAAGCUCCGGCUAACUACGUGCCAGCAGCCGCGGUAAUACGUAGGGAGCGAGCGUUGUCCGGAAUUACUGGGUGUAAAGGGAGCGUAGGCGGGAUCGCAAGUCAGAUGUGAAAACAAUGGGCUUAACCCAUAAACUGCAUUUGAAACUGUGGUUCUUGAGUGAAGUAGAGGUAAGCGGAAUUCCUAGUGUAGCGGUGAAAUGCGUAGAUAUUAGGAGGAACAUCAGUGGCGAAGGCGGCUUACUGGGCUUUAACUGACGCUGAGGCUCGAAAGCGUGGGGAGCAAACAGGAUUAGAUACCCUGGUAGUCCACGCCGUAAACGAUGAUUACUAGGUGUGGGGGGACUGACCCCUUCCGUGCCGCAGCAAACGCAAUAAGUAAUCCACCUGGGGAGUACGACCGCAAGGUCGAAACUCAAAGGAAUUGACGGGGGCCCGCACAAGCAGUGGAGUAUGUGGAUUAAUUCGAAGCAACGCGAAAAACCUUACCAGGUCUUGACAUCGUAUGCAUAGCUCAGAGAUGAGUGAAAUCUCUUCGGAGACAUAUAGACAGGUGGUGCAUGGUUGUCGUCAGCUCGUGUCGUGAGAUGUUGGGUUAAGUCCCGCAACGAGCGCAACCCUUACUGUUAGUUGCUACGCAAGAGCACUCUAGCAGGACUGCCGUUGACAAAACGGAGGAAGGUGGGGAUGACGUCAAAUCAUCAUGCCCCUUAUGACCUGGGCCUCACACGUACUACAAUGGCUGUCAACAGAGGGAAGCAAAGCCGCGAGGUGGAGCGAACCCCUAAAAGCAGUCUUAGUUCGGAUUGUAGGCUGCAACCCGCCUACAUGAAGUCGGAAUUGCUAGUAAUCGCAGAUCAGCAUGCUGCGGUGAAUACGUUCCCGGGCCUUGUACACACCGCCCGUCACGCCAUGGGAGUCGGUAACACCCGAAGCCUGUAGUCUAACCGCAAGGAGGACGCAGUCGAAGGUGGGAUUGAUGACUGGGGUGAAGUCGUAACAAGGUA